rnacentral:rRNA from 1 species
UACGUAGGGGGCAAGCGUUGUCCGGAUUUAUUGGGCGUAAAGAGCGUGUAGGCGGUUUGGUAGGUCCGCUGUGAAAACUCGAGGCUCAACCUCGAGACGCCGGUGGAAACCAUCAGGCUAGAGUCCGGAAGAGGAGAGUGGAAUUCCUGGUGUAGCGGUGAAAUGCGCAGAUAUCAGGAAGAACACCUGUGGCUAAGGCGGCUCUCUAGUACGGUACUGACGCUGAGACGCGAAAGCGUGGGGAGCGAACAGG